CCCGCUUAAGAACCACUGGUCAAAACUACUAAACUUACCUUAGACACCAACCGGUUUAUUAGUUUUAAUUUUGAUCAACUUAGUAAAUAAGGCUCCACCGCGUAGCCAUAAAUUAAGUCCAUCUUGGUCUAGUUAAAGACAUGGACCCAUUCAACUACAACUAUUGAAGUUGAUUCUAGAGUAUCCUUGACCUAAUCUAAUUCAACUUUUGAUUAGAUUUGAUCAAUUACUCCAUUUAGUCCAUUUUUUAAGCUAACCUUAGGUCUAACCCAAUUAUGGACCUAAUUCAUCUAACCCAUUGACCCACAAGUUUAUGCAAUUGUCUUAGGUCUUAAUUUAUAAUUCUAGACCUACUAGACAACACUUAAUUCUUUUAAUUAAGUACUUGGGCUGAUUGGUCAGGGUUUGGCAUUUCGAAAAUAAUUUUCAAAUUUUGAAAGAUUUUAUUUUCUGUUCACCAAAUGUGUUGACUCAUUUCACAAACGGGUCAGCACAUU
rnacentral:lncRNA from 1 species